AACGAACGCUGGCGGCAUGCCUAACACAUGCAAGUCGAACGAGACCUUCGGGUCUAGUGGCGCACGGGUGCGUAACGCGUGGGAACCUGCCCUUAGGUUCGGAAUAACUCCCCGAAAGGGGUGCUAAUACCGGAUAAUGUCUUCGGACCAAAGAUUUAUCGCCUUUGGAUGGGCCCGCGUUGGAUUAGCUAGUUGGUAGGGUAAAAGCCUACCAAGGCGACGAUCCAUAGCUGGUCUGAGAGGAUGAUCAGCCACACUGGGACUGAGACACGGCCCAGACUCGUGCGGGAGGGAGGAGUGGGAGAUAUAGAACAAUGGGAAAAGCCCGGUUCCACAAAGGCGGGGUGAGUGAUGAAGUCUUUGGGGUUGUAAGGCUUGUUUCCCCGGGAGAAAAUAAAAAGACCGGGAAGAAAAAGCCCCGAAGAACCCCGCG
rnacentral:rRNA from 1 species